AGAGCGAACGCUGGCGGCAGGCUUAACACAUGCAAGUCGAGCGCCCCGCAAGGGGAGCGGCAGACGGGUGAGUAACACGUGGGAACGUACCCUUUGGUUCGGAACAACCCAUGGAAACUUGGGCUAAUACCGGAUAAGUCCGUAAGGAGAAAGAUUUAUCGCCAAAGGAUCGGCCCGCGUCUGAUUAGCUAGUUGGUAGGGUAAUGGCCUACCAAGGCUACGAUCAGUAGCUGGUCUGAGAGGAUGAUCAGCCACAUUGGGACUGAGACACGGCCCAAACUCCUACGGGAGGCAGCAGUGGGGAAUAUUGGACAAUGGGCGCAAGCCUGAUCCAGCCAUGCCGCGUGAGUGAUGAAGGCCUUAGGGUUGUAAAGCUCUUUUAGCGGGGUAAGAUAAUGACGGUACCGCAGAAAAAGCCCCGGCUAACUUCGUGCCAGCAGCCGC
rnacentral:rRNA from 1 species